AGCACGGUGGCGUAGUGGGUAGAACGUUUGCCUCACACCUCCAGGGUUGGGGGUUCGAAUCCCACCUCUGCCC